rnacentral:rRNA from 1 species
GUUGACCUCGGAUCAGGUAGGGAUACCCGCGAACUACUCCCUUCCCAUAAGCGGAGGAA